ACGGAGGGUGCAAGCGUUGUUCGGAUUUACUGGGCGUAAAGUGUGUCUAGGCGGAAAUGUAUGUCAGGUGUGAAAGACCCGGGCUCAACCCGGGAAAUGCGCCUGAAACUGCAUUUCUUGAGUUAUGGAGAGGUGAACAGAAUACCUAGUGUAGCAGUGAAAUGCGUAGAUAUUAGGUGGAACACCGGAGGCGAAGGCGGUUCACUGGCCAUAUACUGACGCUGAAGCACGAAAGCGUGGGGAGCAAACAGGAUUAGAUACCCUGGUAGUCCACGCUGUAAACGAUGGAUACUAGGUGUCGGAGGAAUUGACCCCUUCGGUACCGUCGCUAACGCAUUAAGUAUCCCGCCUGGGGAGUACGGUCGCAAGAUUA
rnacentral:rRNA from 1 species